UACAGAGGUCUCGAAGCGUUGUUCGGAUUCAUUGGGCGUAAAGGGUGGCGUAGGCGGCGCGGUAAGUCGGGUGUGAAAUCUCGGAGCUUAACUCCGAAACUGCAUUCGAUACUGCCGUGCUUGAGGACUGGAGAGGAGACUGGAAUUUACGGUGUAGCGGUGAAAUGCGUAGAUAUCGUAAGGAAGACCAGUGGCGAAGGCGGGUCUCUGGACAGUUCCGUGACAGCUGAGAACACGAAGGCCAGGGGAGCAAACGGG
rnacentral:rRNA from 1 species